rnacentral:misc_RNA from 1 species
CCCACUGCCACUCCCACGCCACUCCCUCUGUUUAUAUAUAAACAUCUUCAUUUCCUCUCCAUUUCAUCACUCAAAAACCACCAUUCUCUGAUUCCCCAAAAACCACUUUUCUGUCUUCCAAAACCCUCAUUGAAUCACUCCUCAUUCAAUGGACGCCAAAAUCGGAUCGCUCGACACUUGCAAACCCCCCAACAACGUCGUUUGUUGCCCAUCCAACGGCUCUGUUUGCACCAUCCAAAAUUCCGUCCCCGCCACCGUCGUCAACUCCUCGGAGGCCACCCUCGGCCGCCACCUCGCCCGCCGUCUAGUCCAAAUCGGCGUCACCGAUGUUUUCACUGUCCCUGGCGAUUUUAACCUAACGCUUCUCGACCAUUUAAUCGCCGAGCCUGCGCUCAAUAACAUCGGCUGCUGUAACGAGCUUAAUGCUGGAUACGCCGCUGACGGCUACGCUAGGUCCCGCGGCGUCGGCGCGUGUGUCGUCACGUUCACCGUCGGCGGUCUUAGCGUUCUGAAUGCCAUCGCCGGCGCUUACAGUGAGAACUUGCCGCUCAUUUGCAUAGUCGGUGGCCCUAACUCCAACGAUUAUGGAACUAACAGAAUCCUUCAUCAUACAAUCGGCCUCCCUGACUUCAGCCAAGAACUCCGAUGCUUUCAAACCGUCACUUGCUUUCAGGCUGUUGUGAAUAAUCUCGAAGAUGCUCAUGAGUUGAUUGAUACUGCCAUUUCUACUGCCUUGAAAGAAAGCAAGCCUGUUUACAUUAGUAUUAGUUGUAAUUUGCCUGGGAUUCCUCAUCCUACUUUCAGCCGUGAUCCAGUUCCAUUUUCACUUUCUCCCAAAGUGAGCAAUCCACAUGGGUUGGAGGCAGCAGUGGAGGCAGCAGCACAUUUCUUGAACAAGGCUGUGAAGCCAGUGCUUGUUGGUGGGCCUAAAAUGCGAGUUGCCAAGGCUUGUGAUGCAUUUGUGGAGCUUGCCGAUGCUUGUGGCUAUGCCUUGGCUGUAAUGCCAUCAGCGAAAGGGUUCGUCCCCGAGCACCAUCCUCAUUUCAUUGGAACUUACUGGGGUGCUGUCAGUACCGCCUUCUGCGCCGAGAUCGUUGAGUCUGCCGAUGCGUACUUGUUUGCCGGGCCAAUUUUCAAUGACUACAGCUCUGUUGGUUACUCUCUUUUACUCAAAAGGGAGAAGGCCAUUAUUGUGCAGCCUGAUCGAGUGACCAUUGGCAAUGGACCUACAUUUGGCUGUGUUCUAAUGAAAGAUUUCCUUCAAGCACUUUCAAAGCGUGUUAACAACAACACUACUGCAUAUGAAAACUACCAUAGAAUCUUUGUUCCUGAAGGCCAUCCUUUGAAAUCUGAGCCUAAAGAGGCGUUGAGAGUCAAUAUUUUGUUCCAACACAUUCAGAAGAUGCUCAGUAAUCAAACGGCUGUGAUUGCUGAAACAGGGGAUUCUUGGUUUAACUGCCAGAAACUUAAAUUACCAAAAGGAUGCGGAUAUGAAUUCCAAAUGCAGUAUGGUUCUAUUGGUUGGUCAGUUGGUGCUACACUUGGAUAUGCACAAGCUGUUCCAGAAAAAAGAGUAAUUGCUUGUAUUGGUGAUGGAAGUUUUCAGGUGACUGCACAAGACAUAUCGACGAUGAUCCGUUGCGGACAGAAAACCAUCAUAUUCUUGAUAAACAAUGGUGGCUACACCAUUGAAGUCGAGAUCCACGACGGGCCUUAUAAUGUGAUCAAGAACUGGAACUACACGGCAUUGGUCGAUGCAAUUCACAAUGGGGAUGGGAAGUGUUGGACGACAAAGGUUCGAUGCGAGGAAGAGCUUGUGGAGGCCAUUGAAACAGCUACAGAAGCCAAAAAGGACAGCUUGUGUUUCAUUGAGGUUAUUGCUCACAAGGAUGAUACAAGCAAAGAGCUAUUGGAAUGGGGUUCAAGAGUCUCUGCUGCCAACAGCCGCCCUCCCAAUCCUCAGUAGAAGACAAAUAAGAAAAUAAAAAAAACUUUAUCAACUUUGCAGCAUUUACUUUUCUCAUUAUCGUGUCAUCUUUUUAAGGUAAAAAAAGUGUUUAAUUUGAGAUUGUAUUAGAAAAAAACGAAGUAUUUUGUUGUGUAAAUUCCUCUUAAGAUUUUCUUAUUGAGAACAAUAUUUUCU